rnacentral:rRNA from 1 species
UACGUAGGGACCAAGCGUUGUUCGGAUUUACUGGGCGUAAAGGGCGCGUAGGCGGCGUGUUAAGUCAGCUGUGGAAUCUCCGAGCUUAACUCGGAACGGUCAGCUGAUACUGAUGUGCUAGAGUGCAGAAGGGGCAAUCGGAAUUCUUGGUGUAGCGGUGAAAUGCGUAGAUAUCGAGAGGAACACCUGCGGCGAAGGCGGGUUGCUGGGCUGACACUGACGCUGAUGUGCGAAAGCUAGGGGAGCGAACGGG